rnacentral:tmRNA from 1 species
GUGCCCUGUCGGUCGGGCGGCAUCCUGGCUAAAAAUAAUCGACACGACUAAGCAUGUAGAGCCGAAGGCAGAGGGCUUGCGGACGCGGGUUCGACUCCCGCCGCCUCCACCA